GGGAAUUGAAAAAGGGAAGGCACGGUCAGAGGCGUUUAUGCUUUCAGAAAUGAAGCAGUUCUGGAUUGGCUGCAGCGUGGUUUGACUGAAGGGAGGUGCAGGUACAGUGAUGGUCACGCCCCUCCUGGCCCAGAGUCUUUAGUUAAAUCAUCAGUUUGUUAACUGCUGUUUGCCAAGUAAACCCUCCCUCUGGAAUGAACUUCUUUAAAGCAAAAUGAAAUAAAAUAAAGGCCAGGAUGACAGAAGCAGAUAUUGGCGACACGUCCUAAAGCAGAGACUCAGCAUAGUGGUGCACGGGACCUGAAUCAGGACUGAGAAAGAAGAAGUUGAUGGGAUCCUGGGGAGGAGACCAAAGGGAUGACAAUGACAGUUCUUUAAUUUUAAGGACCUUUCUCAGACCUUAAAACAAGGAUUGAGACUGCAAGUUCAAUGUUUGAACUUUUUUUUUCCUGGAGGGAUUCCCACAUGGAAAACUGAAGCAAUACUACUAAAAGCUAAGUACCAUGAUCACACAUCAGCUUUAGUACCUUCUGUCACCAUCUUUUUAGGAAGGAGCCCCAAAUGCACUACUGGUGAUCGCAGGGCUGCUGGAACCAGCUAGGGACUGAGCUGUCAAGACCAGUCCAUUUGAAAAGAAAAUAACUAAAGACGAAAACUCACCAGCUAACUUGAAUUGCUGAUCCCUGGAGGGUACUCUAAGGAAAGUUGGAAAAGAUUAUGUAAAAUGCUCUCAUAUGUUAGGCAGGAAAAAUUACUUAUUGCCUCUAAACAGGAAGAUUGUAAACAAGGUCUCCCAUUUUCACAAAAAAAAUAAGCAGCAUCAGCUGCAUACGAUGCUGCCCUCAAACAUAGCUUUCAGAAAGUGUCAUUGCGUUUAGAUUCAUCCACUUAGUGAAGAGAAACGGAAGAGAUUGUCUCUUAUUUCUUAGCCCUCUUCUGUGUUGGGCAGAGCCUGAAGUCUAAAUAGAUAGGAUCUUUUAUCCAAAACCUACACGUCUCCCUUUUCAUCCUCAAUCUAAAACAAGAGAGUUUGGCAGUCCAAGAAAUAGUAACAUGUUAUGUAGAUUUGACACUGAAGAUAUGACCAAAUCAGUAUUUUACUGUCUUUCCUUAUUAAGAAUAUGCAUUAUAUGUGUAUAUCUAAUUUGUGUUAUUCAUACUUUAUGUUUUCUUUUUAGGGCUGCACCUGUGGUAUAUGGAAG